rnacentral:lncRNA from 1 species
UCCUGGAAGCAAAGCGAAGAAUCUAUAAUAUAAUCAUUAAGCUCCGAUCCCAUUAUAAAAUAUUUGAAAACCUAAACUUGGGACAAAAAAAAAAAAAAAAAAAAAAAAAAAAAUUAGAGAGAAAACGGAGUAUGCUACAUGUUAAAAAAAAACAACUUUGAAAUAAGGCUGGAGAAUAAUUUCUUUGCAAAGAACGAUAAUGAAUCCAAGUUGAUGGCAGCACAAAACUCUAUGAAGACUGAAUAAGCUAAUGUGAAAAUCACAUUAAAAGAUGUACAAGACGAACAUUCAUUCCUAAUAUUAAAUAACAAAUAACAGACAAGAAGAGAAUUAAUUAAUGGAAUAACUUCUGUCUGCUUACCGAAAGGAAAAUUGCAGGAUUGUCAGUGAAAACGAAAAAAUCUCCGCAGAAUUAACAAAAUAUAAACAAAUUGCCAAUGCUAGUGACAAUGAAGUGAAUUCUUUAGUAGUCGAUAACCCACAUCAAAGGUUAGAUUCUACCUCUUCAGAAGUAAAUGCUUUUUAAAAGAAUUAAAUAAAACAAAACAACUGUAUGAAGACCAAGAAAAAGUUGAAGAACAAAAAAAGAAUAGGCUUGAUAAGAAUUUAAAUGAUGAAAUUGAAACGCUGAGGCGUUCGAAAAUUAUAAUUAAAUCUUCAGAGGAGGAAAAAAAUAAUCUAUUGUCUGAAAAAGAAAUUGAAAUUCACAAUCUAGAAAAGCAAAAUUAAAAACUUGAUGAAGAAAGGUAUAGCAAGUCAACGAUCUCUUGAAGAUAAUUCUAAAGAAAUAGAAAUACUUCUGAGAAACAAAAUAUUAUUGAGAAUCUUGAGGUUUAAAUAAAGUCCUUACAGAAAGUGUGAUUACAAUCUUAAGAAAAUAAUUUAAAAAACUCAGCUGAGAGACAAAAUCACGGAAUUACAAAAGAAAGCAGUAUAUUUGUGUACGGCUGCGAAGCUUCGAAAAAAUGUGGAACACCUUGAAUCUGAUAUUGAAGGCCAAAAAUUAUGAAGUUCAAAAUUCGAAAGAGGAGCAUUGGUCUUAUUUUCUUGUCCUAUGAUGAAUUAAUUAAAUUGAAAGAGAAAAACAAGGAGCGAUGAAUCUUUGAGAUGUUAUGAUAAGAUUUAAUCCCAGAAAAAAAAAACAUCGUCAAAUCUAGAAGAGGAAAUUUCAUUCGAGAACUUGAGCUAAAAUUAGAGAAAUCAGUUAGAAUAUGAUGGAGAGGUUGAAGACUUGCUUAGAGAUGAAAUAGAAUCAUUAAAGCAGGAUGUAAUCCAAGCAAACAUAUAUCAUUCAAUGGAACUAGAUAAGAUCAGAAAAGCUAAUGAAAAAGUAAUCAAUGAAUACAAGGAUGCGAAUAAGGAGCUCCAAAAACAAGUCGGCAUUUGUUCAAAUAGGGAUACGGCAGAUGAUUCUAGUCAAUUAGUCCAUCAACAAAUGAACAAAUCAGAUCAGAGCUUUAAAAUUGACUCAAGCAUCCAAUCAGCUGGAUUGCAAAUCUCUGGUAAAAACAAAAUGAAGAGUAAAGUUAGAAAUGUCUAAAAUAAUAGUACAAAAUCCAAUAGCAGCUCCUCAAUUUUGUUAAAUGAAAGCAAUGUUGAAAAUGUCAGAAGUUUAUCCAUGGAUGCUCAUGUUAUCUGUUAUUUGAUUCCUUAAUUAAGACUAAAUAUUCUUCUUUUGCAUCUUUUAAUGUGAUCUUAACUUGAGCUAAUUUAGUCUGGAGUAAAUUUGGUUUGGAUUCAUGUUCGUCCUUCGCAAGAAAUUAUCCUCCAUCUUUAUUGAAAAGUUAUUAUGAAUAUGCAGCAUCUUCU